CCAACACAAAAAUAGAGGGCAGAAAGAGGUGGAGUUUCCUCAUGAAGUCAGCCAUCAGCAUGCUGUGUCCAUUAUGAACCCUCAUGUUCAAUAAAGUUGAGAAUGCUAGGGUACUAUAGAAAACAGAGUUUUAUUGAAGAUCAAAGUGAAACAAGCUGCUUUGAUUUUAUGUUCUGUCUUUUCAUUUCCUGUAGGUGGUGAGCCCCUGAAUUGUACUAAUUAACAAAGCCUCUGAUUAGAGGCAAUUGGUUUCCUUCCUGCUACUGAAAAUGUCAAAAAGCAAGGCUGCCUCUGGAUGGACCUAAUUUGUGAUGAUUCCAGUUGGUUCUAAAGUGGUCAAGCUGACAUGGUGUUUUUUAAAACUAUGGGCCUCCUUCUCAUCAAUUCACUGUCCACUAUUAGAUAAAAAGCAUGCCAACACAUGAUAAUUUUCAAGAUAGUCCCUCUCUUCCUUGGGUUCCCUGGGCUGGAAAGGUAAUGGCUUGAAAGACUGAAGUUACCAAAAGCAGAGAAUGAGGCAUGUAGAAAACGUCGCCAUAGCAUCACACUGUCUGUUUACUGGAAAGACGGCAUGAUUAAAUAC
rnacentral:lncRNA from 1 species